UACGGAGGGUGCGAGCGUUGUCCGGAAUUACUGGGCGUAAAGCGUGCGUAGACGGUCAAGUAAGUCGGGUGUGAAAGCCCCGGGCUCAACCUGGGAAUUGCAUUCGAGACUGCGUGGCUAGGGUGCGGAAGAGGGAAGCGGAAUUUCCGGUGUAGCGGUGAAAUUCGUAGAUAUCGGGAGGAACACCGGUGGCGAAGGCGGCGAUCUGGGUCGAUACGUGACGCUGAGGAGCGAAAGCGUGGGGAGCGAACAGG
rnacentral:rRNA from 1 species